rnacentral:tRNA from 1 species
GACCGCGUAGCUCAGUUGGCAGAGCGUUGGGCUAGUAAUCCAAAGGUCGUAGGUUCGAUUCCCACUGUGGCCA